rnacentral:lncRNA from 12 species
GCAGGGCUGACUAUGUGGUUAAUUUGGGUCUGCGUUCUCAGGACGCUCGGAGAGGGUUAUGGGGUUAAUUUGGGUCUGGUGUCUCAGGAUACUCGGGGAGGGCUCUGGGGUUAAUUUGGGUCUGGGGUCUCAGGAUACUCGGGGAGGGCUCUGGGGUUAAUUUGGGUCUGGGGUUUCAGGGCACUCAGGGAGGGCUCUGGGGUUAAUUUGGGUCUGGGGUCUCAGCAUACUCGGGAGGGCUCUGGGGUUAAUUUGGGUCUGGGGUCUCAGCAUACUCGGGAGGGCUCUGGGGUUAAUUUGGGUCUGGGGUCUCAGCAUACUCGGGAGGGCUCUGGGGUUAAUUUGGGUCUGGGGUCUCAGCAUACUCGGGAUUACUCAGGGCUGGCUCUGGGGUUAAUUUGGGUCUGGGUUCUCAAGGCACUCGAAGAGGGCACUGGAGUUUAUUUGGGUAUUGAGUCUCAGGAUACUCGGCAAGGGCUCUGGGGUUAAUUUGGAUUUGGGGAUCAAGGCACUCGGGGAUGGCUGGGGGUUAAUUUGGGUCUGGGGUAUCACGAAACUCGGGGCUGGCUAUGGGAUUAAUUUGGAUCUGGUUUCUCAGGGCACUUGGGGAGGGUUCUGGGGUUAUUUUGGGUCUGGGGUCUCAGGGUUCUCAAGCAGGGCUCUGGGGUUAAUUUGGGUCUGGUGUCUCAGGGCAUUCGGGGAGGUCUCUGGGGUUAAUUUGGGUCUGGGGUCUCCCAAUACUCGGGGCUGGGUGUGGGGUUAAUUUGGGUCUAGGGUCUCAGGGCACUCGGGGAAAGCUCUGGAAUAAAUUUGAAUCUGGGGUCUCAGGAUGCCCGGGGAGGGCAUGGGGGUUAAUUUGGGUUUAUGGUGUCAGGGCAAUGGCGGAGGGCUCUGGGGUUAAUUUGGUGUAGCAGAUGCUACUCCCCCCAGAACAGGC